rnacentral:rRNA from 1 species
UACGAAGGGGGCUAGCGUUGCUCGGAAUCACUGGGCGUAAAGGGUGCGUAGGCGGGCCUUUAAGUCAGGGGUGAAAUCCUGGAGCUCAACUCCAGAACUGCCUUUGAUACUGAAGAUCUUGAGUUCGGGAGAGGUGAGUGGAACUGCGAGUGUAGAGGUGAAAUUCGUAGAUAUUCGCAAGAACACCAGUGGCGAAGGCGGCUCACUGGCCCGAUACUGACGCUGAGGCACGAAAGCGUGGGGGGCAAACAGG